GAGCAUUCCUAUGUUGCUAGGAUUGUGCAACUUACAUUCCUUGUAGGUAAUAAUUUAGUGGAAUCGUGCAAAGAAUUGAAUUUACAAAGGUAAUUUUCGUCCUGAUUUUAUAGUUUAUUGGGAGUAAAGAUAAAACUUGUUCAAAUGAUCAGCUGGAUCGCACUCAGCAAAAAGGAACCAGCGCGAUUACAGUGUUGUAAAACUGUUGCUUCUUCAUAAUUAUCUAAAAAAUCUACCAGAAUAGCAAAUAGUUUUUGCUUUCAACCAAAAAAUUGUUAAUUUUAAAGGAAAAUAAUUGUGUAGAUUUUAUUACUGCACUUAUAUUGCGUAUUUUUAAGAGAAAAGAAAAAAUUGCACGAUUUUGAAAACACUGUAAUUGCGCUGGUUCCUUUUUGCUAAUUGCGAUCCAGUCAAUAUGUAAAAGGUGAAAAAAGUUGCACAAUCUUAAUUUUAUUGCAAUUCUCUUGAUUUCUUUUAUCCUUUUUGCACAAUGCAAUCCAGGAUGUCCAGCGGGAAUCAGCAGGUCGUUGCCGGAAACAGCCGAAUUCGAACAGUUGUUGACAGAUCAACGCGCAACGAGUACCGGUGCCCGUCCUUUGACUGUUUUGACUUUAUCUUAUCAUGUGUACUAUUAACUGCCUUAUCAUUUAUCGAUCAAUUUAUCUACAAGUAACGGAACUGCCGCAUUCCCACUUAUUUCAAGGUUGCAAGCCUCCUGCACUCGCUCGCUGAUCUUUUAUCUUUAGUCUUACCAUUUGGGGCUUGAGGUUCUCCUAUCCGUGUCCACUUCGAAGUGUUUCAUUUUCGUGCAUACCAAAUAAUAAACUACAAAGAAUCAUCUUUUAGUGUCUAAAUUGUAUCUUGUUCAUCAUAACGAUGGAAUUAGCGUGUCAUUUGUGCGAGGAGGAAUUAUUUAUUAGCAUUUCACCGAUUAAGUCUCGUGCCAAGCUUACUUGUUGUUCUGGCUGCGGUUAUACUUUUCACGAGGCAUGUUUGAAAACGCGUCUUGAAAGGAAAGAAAAAUGCCCUAAGUGCCAAAAACAUAUACAAGAGGGAAAAAUUGUCAACUUGACUUUCAAUAUUGGAUCUAUUAAGGGGCUUGAGAAUGUUGACAAAGUAGUCCGAAGCUCAUUGAAAAGUAAGCUGGAAUUGUUACAGUCGAGCAUCGAACAUCAGAUCGAAACCGGAGUGGAACUAAACAACUUGAUGGAACACGAGGAAUCUAACACAGAUUAUCUGGAACGUAAACACCGGUCUUUCUAUGAUUCAGAAAGAAAAAGAUGUAAUAGUGCACUGACUGAGAGCACUUUAGAAAUUUGUGCAGUAGCAGAGCUGUGUUUAAUGGAUUGUUUGGACAGAUCUGAAGAAGAAUGUGUGAAAUGUAAUCAGCCGGUCUCUCCUGAACAGAGUAUCAAUUUGAUUUUUUUACUACAAUCCUAG
rnacentral:lncRNA from 1 species